rnacentral:tRNA from 1 species
GCCCACGUAGCUCAGUCGGUAGAGCACGUGCAUGGUAAGCACGUGGUCACCGGUUCGAUUCCGGUCGUGGGCUCUA